GGGGCUGAACGGGGUACUGGUGUCCCCCACGGUCUUCAAAACCGCUUGAGAGGCGCGUGACGUCUCUGGUGGGUUCGAUUCCCACGCAGUCCC
rnacentral:tRNA from 1 species